AGGAAUAUUGGUCAAUGGGCGGGAGCCUGAACCAGCCAAGUAGCGUGAAGGACGACGGCCCUACGGGUUGUAAACUUCUUUUAUAAGGGAAUAAAGUUCGCCACGUGUGGUGUUUUGUAUGUACCUUAUGAAUAAGCAUCGGCUAAUUCCGUGCCAGCAGCCGCGGUAAUACGGAAGAUGCGAGCGUUAUCCGGAUUUAUUGGGUUUAAAGGGUGCGUAGGCGGCCUUUUAAGUCAGCGGUGAAAGUCUGUGGCUCAACCAUAGAAUUGCCGUUGAAACUGGGGGGCUUGAGUAUGUUUGAGGCAGGCGGAAUGCGUGGUGUAGCGGUGAAAUGCAUAGAUAUCACGCAGAACCCCGAUUGCGAAGGCAGCCUGCCAAGCCAUUACUGACGCUGAUGCACGAAAGCGUGGGGAUCAAACAGGAUUAGAUACCCUGGUAGUCCACGCAGUAAGCGAUGAUCACUAGCUGUUUGCGAUACACUGUAAGCGGCACAGCGAAAGCGUUAAGUGAUCCACCUGGGGAGUACGCCGGCAACGGUGAAACUCAAAGGAAUUGACGGGGGCCCGCACAAGCGGAGGAACAUGUGGUUUAAUUCGAUGAUACGCGAGGAACCUUACCCGGGUUUGAACGCAUUUCGACAGCUCUGGAAACAGAGUCUCUAGCGAUAGCGAUUUGCGAGGUGCUGCAUGGUUGUCGUCAGCUCGUGCCGUGAGGUGUCGGCUUAAGUGCCAUAACGAGCGCAACCCUUGCCACUAGUUACUAACAGGUAAAGCUGAGGACUCUGGUGGGACUGCCAGCGUAAGCUGCGAGGAAGGCGGGGAUGACGUCAAAUCAGCACGGCCCUUACAUCCGGGGCGACACACGUGUUACAAUGGCGUGGACAAAGGGAGGCCACCUGGCGACAGGGAGCGAAUCCCCAAACCACGUCUCAGUUCGGAUCGGAGUCUGCAACCCGACUCCGUGAAGCUGGAUUCGCUAGUAAUCGCGCAUCAGCCAUGGCGCGGUGAAUACGUUCCCG
rnacentral:rRNA from 1 species